AUGUUAAAAGUUUUUUUUUUUUCUUUAAUGGUCAGAAAUGUAAGAAUUUCAAAGAAUAGGAUGACCCAGCCUCUCAGUAUGUGCCUGAGGCCGAGCGGUGGCGUCGUUUCCUUCCCCGGCGACUCCCCUCGGGCUGCCGCCGCCGUCGUCGGCGUGUCCGAGGAGCGGGUGGUGGAAGAAGUCGGCAAGGGAGGCGCACCCGUGCCCCUGGCGGGGGCGCGGGCGCCUCGUCUUCCUUUCCCCUCUCCUCUCCUCCCCCCCUCGCCGCGCCGGCGGGGGGUGGGUGGCGUGGGGCGGUGUGACUCGGAGGACUUGGCGGGGCUCGUGAGCGCCCGCGGCGGGCCGGGCCAGCGCCGCGGCGCUUGGCCAGCCCGAGGGGCUGCCCCUCUCUCCCGGCACGGGUCGUGUCCCCGUCUCCGUCCCUCUCUCUCGCCCGCCUCGCGGGAGGCGGGGAGCUCUCUCCUCUGGGCGGUGACGUGACCACGCCGUGCGCGGGCGAGGCGGAGGUGGCGUCCUCGAGGGGGCACCGGCCGCGAGCGCUCGGGGUUGCCCUGUGCCUGUCCCUUGCCGGAGACCCGCCCCCCGCCCCGCGAGCCCUGUCGGCCCCGGAGCGCCGCCUGGUGGGGCCCGUUUGGGAGGACGAACGGGUGGGGGCGAUGCGCCCUCGGUGAGAAAGCCUUCUCUAGCGAUCCGAGAGGGUGCCUUGGGGUACCGGAGCCCCCAGCCGCUGCCCCUCCUCUGCGCGUGUAGUGUGGCCAGCGACGCGGGGUUGGACUCCCGUCGCGACGUGUUUGGGCAGAGUGCCGCUCUUUGCCUACCUACCGCGGCCUGCGCCUCCCCCCUCCGAGACGGGGGAGGAUCCCGCCGGGCCGGGCCGGCGUCCGGUGCGGGGUGUGUUGCCCGCGUGCGUGUGCGAGCGUGCGCGCGGCCGGGGGGUUGGGGCGGCCCGCCCCCCCCCACGCCACUCACCCCGUGUGUGUGCGUGUGUGCCGCGCUAGCGGCCGGCUGGCUGUCUGGGCCGCCGCCCGCUCCCGAGCCGAGUCGCCGCCGGCGGUGGCUCGGCGGGCGCGUGUGGGUCGGGCCAGCUCCCGCCUGGGGGCGCCUCCCCGGGUCGUGACUCCGGGUUGGACCGG
rnacentral:lncRNA from 1 species